GGCCCAUAGCAGCCUGAAUGCACCAGAUCUGGCUUGAACUGGGAAGCUAAGCAGGGUUGGGUGUGGUUUGUACUAAGAUGAGAGACUGCCUGGAAAUCCCAUGUGCCC
rnacentral:rRNA from 1 species